UUCUAUCCGUCCGAUCAAACGAGCGGCUCCGUGCGAUCCCCGCGAUCCCGCCCCCUUCCUUCCCGCCGAUCCGCCGCCCCUGACUGCGCCGCCGCCCCGCGCGCCCAUGCCUCCCCGUCCCCCUGCCUCCCCCUUCUGGCGCUCUCGCCUCCUCCUCUAGCCUCUCCUGUACUCCCGUGCAGUCGCAGCCAUCAUGCCCGCGCUCUCCGCCGUGAGCGGAUCGCCUAGCCUCGCCUCGCUCGACGCCACACGGAGGCAUCCCUGCCACGCGCAGAGCUGCAGGUCGAUGGAUUGAUGGCUUGCCGUGCAUAGAUGCCGCGCGGAUCGUCGAGCGGCCGCCACGUCCGCGACACCGUGCGCACCUGCUCGCUCUGCUGCUCGUGGUGCCGUCGCUAGGAGUCAACACCCGGCAUCGGCUUCUUCUGGGGCUCCGCAGCAGCCGCUGCACCCCCGGCCGCCAUCGACACCAUCCUCACACGGUACGCAUGCCCCGUCCGCGACUUCUGCUACUGGGAGAUCCCCGAGGAUAGGAGGCCUUCGCCCGCAGGGAAUAAUGGAUCCCCGUGCUGGCCGGAAAGGGGGUCCUUGUACUCCUCUGUUAAUCGGGAGUUCGUCGAGCUUCUCACUCGUCUCGCUCAAGUCUGUUAAUCGGGGAUUUCGUCAAGCUUCUCACUCGUCUCGCUCAAGUGAGGGCGCUUGCCGGUAAAAUUAAUUCACCUUGUAGGCUUGUAUCAUAUAAACAUAUAUAUUACGUUCCGAUCACAACAAUCAAGCUGGUUAAGAACUUCAGCUAUUCUAUUCAACUCCAAAUCGGCUUAUGAGAUUAUUGCAAAGUACUCCACCUAGGCUUUGUAGGUUUGUCAAAUUGGUCGAGUUAUUGUCAGGAUAGAUCUAAAGUAUGUGACAGUGGGUCCAUGACAAGGUAGACGAAACAAUUCAUACUUUCAGAGGCCACUAGGAUGCCAACAGGUGAUGCCGUCUGUUUUUCAGAGGCUGAGGUGAAGUCUUAAGAAGAAAUGACAUCAUAUUUGAUACGUGGUUCCUCCUCGUGUGCAAUGGCAAGCACAAAUAUGAAUGGGCAGACAAGGUACGAUGUGCAUACAUGAAGUCACUCUUCUGGUCAGGAUCAUUUCUGCGGAGAACAUUUCUAUUCUAUUUGUUCAGCAUAUUAGGUUCUGAUAACUUUUAUUUGAAUGGGGCUGCUUAUCUGUAGUCACUCUCAUGCCAUCUUUACAAUAUGUGGUCAACAAAAGCGAAUAUGAUCUGGUAGAAUAGGGAAACAGAAGUCUGAAAUAGCUAGCUUCUGGGAUCAGUUACAACACACACACACACACACAAUUGAUACGAUCAAUUCCCCCAAUUUUCUAAAUUUGAUGCAGAUCACGGUAUUUGUAUUCAAUAUUUCAAUCUCAUAGAGGCACAGCUUGAUCUUGUUGCUCAUAUCGUGCAUCUUAUGCUUGGCUCUGCACCUUCUUAUAUGUGAAUCACAUAUCUCAGUUAACUAACAGUACUUUCCCCUUGUGGUAAUGUGUUUGAAACAAAUGAAUAUUUAUGUAAUUCUGAUGGACAUGGGAGCA